UUAGAAAAAAUUAGGAAAAAUUAGAAAAAAUCAGAAAAAAUCAGGAAAGAUUGGGAAUAAAUCUACGAUGGUGUAACUUCAGUUGCAUUUCAUAAAACACUUCCAGGACCAGAGGAAGAUGCGGUAAUUGACAAAUUAAGUGGAAUGGGUAACCCCCCAGAUCAGAGAAAAUUAACAGAAUUCAUCUAAUUUAUAAUCUCCAACGCAUGACAUUCGGCAACAUGUACAAAGUGCAGCGUACUCUACUCUCCUCCUUGAAUCUCGAGACAUUUUUCAAAGGUUGUCUUGCUUGCUCAGAGCCCCACAGGUUACCUGCAUCUCGGAGGCAUCCAUACAGCUGUGUGCGACACGGUGCAGCUAUUAAUUGGCUCAGGCAAACCAAGGAAAUUCUAUUCUACGUUUAGAAGACACCGAUCAAACAGGACUCGCACUAGAUGCUACCGGUAAACUUCAAGAGGAUCUAUUUUGGGCUGAAAUCAUCCCAUACAAAGACCCGACAAGGAUGGGACCUGUAGGCCCUUACUUUCAAUCAAAUCUGAGCUGGUUCAAGUUCUUCUCCAAAAUGCCUCGGCUUGGCGCUAGUUUUAUUUGAAUGAUAGACUGGGGCUCUUACGACAAGGAUCGUUGAAGCUUAGGCAAACACGGAAGCACGACAAGUGUAGACAUCUGAGCAAAGAGGAUCUGAAGGACGAAUUGAAGCAAGGAGAAUCUUCAUAUUAUCGCCGAAUAUAUGUAUAGAGAAUAAUUGUAGGCGCCACAGCAAAACGAGAGGGUUGUAGGCAAGGUGUUGUUGAAUAAUGUCAGUGUCUUUUAUAAACAACGUAAG